rnacentral:miRNA from 1 species
UCUGGCAGCGACGGGAACAUA